ACGGGGUCAGCAGGCGCGAAAACUGGCCAAUGCGCGAAAGCGUGAGCCGGCUAGUCCGAGUGAUAGCCCAUCGGCUAUCUUUUGUUAAGUGUUUAUAGCUUGGCGAAUAAUGAGAGGGCAAGACUGGUGCCAGCCGCCGCGGUAAAACCAGCUCUUAGAGUGGUGAUCAUGUUUAUUUGGCUUAAAGGGUGCGUAGCAGGACAGCGUAAGUCCCCUGUGAAAUGCUCGGUCUUAAGCCGAGCGCGGGCAGGGGAUACUGUGCGUCUUGGGACCGGGAUAGGUGUAAUGUACGCGUUGGGUAGGGGUGAAAUCCGAUAAUCCAACGCGGACAACCGGUGGCGAAGGCGUUACACUGGAACGGGUCCGACUGUGAGGCACGAAAGCUAGGGUCGCGAGCCGGAUUAGAUACCCGGGUAGUCCUAUGCUGUAAACGAUGCUCACUAAGUGUUAGGUAAUGCAAGACAUUGUCUAGUGCCGAAGCGAAAGCGUUAAGUGAGCCGCCUGGGAAGUACGUUCGCAAGAAUGAAACUUAAAGGAAUUGGCGGGGGCCUACUACAAGAAGUGGAGCCUGCGGUUUAAUUGGACUCAACUCCGGGAAGCUCACCUGGGCCGUAACAUGGAUGAUUGUCCUGCUGAAGACACUGCUUGACGUGUUACUGGAGGUGCAUGGCCAUCGUCAGUUCGUGCCGUGGGGUGUCCUGUUAAGUCAGGCAACGAACGAGAUCCCUACCGCUAAUUGCCAGCGAGACCUCCGGGUCGUCGGGGACAUUAGCGGGACUGCUCGCGAAAAAGUGAGAG
rnacentral:rRNA from 1 species